CGAAAGCCUGACGGAGCAAUACCGCGUGAGGGAAGAAGGCUCUUGGGUUGUAAACCUCUUUUCUUAGGGAAGAAAAAAAUGACGGUACCUAAGGAAUAAGCAUCGGCUAACUCCGUGCCAGCAGCCGCGGUAAUACGGAGGAUGCAAGCGUUAUCCGGAAUGAUUGGGCGUAAAGCGUCCGCAGGUGGCAAUUCAAGUUUGCGGUUAAAGGUUCUGGCUCAACCAGGGAUAGGCCGUGAAAACUGAAUAGCUAGAGUAUGGUAGGGGCAGAGGGAAUUCCCAGUGUAGCGGUGAAAUGCGUAGAGAUUGGGAAGAACACCGGUGGCGAAAGCGCUCUGCUAGGCCAAAACUGACACUGAGGGACGAAAGC
rnacentral:rRNA from 1 species